rnacentral:lncRNA from 1 species
GGGAUAUGAAAUGAUAAGCUCCAGUUUUACUACAAGAAUGUAACAUUUGUUAUUCAAGAGAGUUGGUAAACUCCAACAAGGUGUUCAUAAGGAAAGUACAUAAAGGAACUUUUCAGCAUCUAUGGAUGACACAAGAGGACAUGGCACUUGAUUUUAAUAGAGUAAGAGGAUUGUGACAACAAUUCAAGAGAUAUGACUGAGCUUAAAACCUUCCUGAAGAAGGUCGAAACCUGGAGGAUUAUGGUGUAGAGUAAAUGUAACAGCCCGGCCCGUACGCACGGCACUGUUACCACUCACGGCCCAGGGCUAUCCCUCGCCUGGCCUCUUGCCACCUCGGGCUUUCCACUGGCGUCGUGAGCAGCUCUUAACAUCCCUUCACCCUCACGGGUUCCAGGCAGGAUUUGUCCCUCGGGGGAGCCAUUACGGCCCGCCCUAGCCNNNN